ACGUAGGUAGCGAGCGUUAUCCGGAAUUAUUGGGCGUAAAGGGUGCGUAGGCGGCCUGUUAAGUUUAUGGUGAAAGCGUGGGGCUCAACCCCAUAAAGCCAUAGAUACUGGCAGGCUAGAGUACUGGAGAGGGUAGUGGAAUUCCAUGUGUAGCGGUAAAAUGCGUAGAUAUAUGGAGGAACACCGGUGGCGAAGGCGGCUACCUAGACAGAGACUGACGCUGAGGCACGAAAGCGUGGGGAGCAAAUAG
rnacentral:rRNA from 1 species